CAUUCGCGAGCGGAGCCGAGCGCGGGAGACCGGACCCGAGAGCUGAGCUGCAGGUUCGGCGCGGGUCGGCUGGCGGCCGACUGCCCCAGAGCCCCCACCCGGCACCACACAGACCCCACCCCCGCCCUGCGCCAGCCUUCGUCCCCGCCGAGGACCCCAGACACCAGCAUGGACUGCUGCACCGAGAACGCCUGCUCCAAGCCGGACGACGACAUUCUAGACAUCCCGCUGGACGAUCCCGGCGCCAACGCGGCCGCCGCCAAAAUCCAGGCGAGUUUUCGGGGCCACAUGGCUCGGAAGAAGAUAAAGAGCGGAGAGCGCGGCCGGAAGGGCCCGGGCCCUGGGGGGCCUGGCGGAGCUGGGGUGGCCCGGGGAGGCGCGGGCGGCGGCCCCAGCGGAGACUAGGCCAGAAGAACUGAGCAUUUUCAAAGCCCUCCCAGCCGGGGAAAAUGCACCCUGCCCCUGCAGGUUUUCUGAUACAUCCAGACCCCUGAGGCUGCGACGGGGACAUACAUAUGCAAAACCACCCCAUUUGGCUGCACAAGCCCGGCCGAGGGGCAGAAAUACAACGCGGCUCGCACACUUCCCGAGGAGAGAUGGAUGCCGCGUUCCCUUCGCAGCGACGAGACUUCCCUGCCGUGUUCGUGACCCCCUCCUGCCCAGCAACCUGCCAGCUACAGGAGCCCCCUGCGUCCCAGAGACUCCCUCACCCAGGCAGGCUCCGUCGCGGAGUCGCUGAGUCCGUGCCCUUUUAGUUAGUUCUGCAGUCUAGUAUGGUCCCCAUUUGCCCUUCCACUCCACCCCACCCUAAACCAUGCGUUCCCAAAUCUUCCUUCUUUUGCUUCUCGCCCACCUCUUCCCGCACCCAGCAUGCAGCUCUGCCUCCGCAGCCUCAGUGCGCUUUCCUGCGCGCACUGCGGAGGGCGCCCUAAGCGUCACCCAAGUACACUCACUUAAAGAAAAAACAAGUUCUUUCGUUCUGUGCGCAGCUAAAAGGGGCGCCCUACGUCUCCCUGCCACUCCUGCCCCAGCCUAGCCUCAGGACUUUGGAUCUGGGGUGAGAUGAAGGGAAAGUGUUUUUAUGGUUUCGGACGCCCCUUGCUCUGACCGGAAGAGAAGUCCCUAGCCCACACCUGCCUGUCACGUUCCCUCCCCUUUCCCCAGCGCACUGUUGAGGGAAGCCUCUCCAGCUCUCUUGUUUAUGCAAACGCCGAGCGCCUGGGAGGCUCGGUAGGAGGAGUCUUCCACGGCCCCGCCCCGCCCCUGUCGGCCCCGCCCCUCCCCCUCCCCGCCGGGCUCCUGGGGCUGUGGCCGAAAGGUUUUUAAUCUCCGUGUGUGCAUGUGACUGUGCUGGGUUGGAAUGUGAACAAUAAAGAGGAAUGUCCAAGUGUUCA